GACGAACGCUGGCGGCGUGCUUAACACAUGCAAGUCGAGCGGUAAGGCCCUUUCGGGGGUACACGAGCGGCGAACGGGUGAGUAACACGUGGGUGACCUGCCCUCAGCUCUGGGAUAAGCCCGGGAAACUGGGUCUAAUACCGGAUAUGACUUCAUGACGCAUGUUGUGGAGUGGAAAGCCUUGUGCGGCUGAGGAUGGGCCCGCGGCCUAUCAGCUUGUUGGGUGGGGG
rnacentral:rRNA from 1 species